GAUGAACGCUAGCGGCAGGCCUAAUACAUGCAAGUCGAACGGUGUAGCAAUACACAGUGGCGCACGGGUGCGUAACACGUAUGCAACCUACCUUACAUUGGGGGAUAGCCUUUCGAAAGGGAGAUUAAUACCGCAUAAGACAGUAACUAGGCAUCUAGUAGCUGUUAAAGAUUUAUCGAUGUAAGCUGGGCAUGCGUCCAAUUAGUUAGUUGGCGAGGUAAUGGCUCACCAAGACGAUGAUUGGUAGGGGAACUGAGAGGUCAAUCCCCCACACUGGAACUGAGAGACGGGCCAGACUCCUACGGGAGGCAGCAGUAGGGAAUAUUGGGCAAUGGGCGCAAGCCUGACCCAGCCAUGCCGCGUGCAGGAAGAAGGCGUUAUGCGUUGUAAACUGCUUUUAUACAGGAAGAAACGACCCUUGCGAGGGGCAUUGACGGUACUGUAUGAAUAAGCACCGGCUAACUCCGUGCCAGCAGCCGCAGUAAGAC
rnacentral:rRNA from 1 species